UACGUAGGGGCUAGCGUUAUCCGGAAUUACUGGGCGUAAAGGGUGCGUAGGUGGUUUCUUAAGUCAGAGGUGAAAGGCUACGGCUCAACCGUAGUAAACCUUUGAAACUGGGAAACUUGAGUGCAGGAGAGGAGAGUGGAAUUCCUAGUGUAGCGGUGAAAUGCGUAGAUAUUAGGAGGAACACCAGUUGCGAAGGCGGCUCUCUGGACUGUAACUGACGCUGAGGCACGAAAGCGUGGGGAGCAAACAGGAUUAGAUACCCGGGUAGUUCCUGAGCGGGCUGG
rnacentral:rRNA from 1 species